rnacentral:misc_RNA from 1 species
GAAAUGCGAUAAUUAAUGUGAAUUGCAGAAUUCAGUGAAUCAUCGAGUCUUUGAACGCACAUUGCGCCCCCUGGUAUUCCGGGGGGCAUGCCUGUCCGAGCGUCAUUGCUGCCCUCAAGCACGGCUUGUGUGUUGGGCUUCCGUCCCUGGCAACGGGGACGGGCCCAAAAGGCAGUGGUGGCACCAUGUCUGGUCCUCGAGCGUAUGGGGCUUUGUCACCCGCUCCCGUAGGUCCAGCUGGCAGCUAGCCUCGCAACCAAUCUUUUUAACCAGGUUGACCUCGGAUCAGGUAGGGAUACCCGCUGAACUUAAGC